rnacentral:rRNA from 1 species
UACGUAGGGGGCAAGCGUUGUCCGGAUUUAUUGGGCGUAAAGAGCGUGUAGGCGGUCAGGUAGGUCCGUUGUGAAAACUCGAGGCUCAACUUCGAGCUGUCGGUGGAAACUGUCUGGCUAGAGUCCGGAAGAGGAGAAUGGAAUUCCUGGUGUAGCGGUGAAAUGCGCAGAUAUCAGGAAGAACACCCGUGGCGAAGGCGGUUCUCUGGGACGGUACUGACGCUGAGACGCGAAAGCGUGGGGAGCGAACAGG